UUUAAUGUGAUGACACUUUCGGGGUGUGUCCCAAUUUAGUUCGUAAUAGAAGCUGCAAAGAAGCGAAUUCCUCAGUGCCGCUUCUAGUUGUCUUUCCCAAUGGAUUUUCACAAUUUGGCGUUUCUAACCGUGCUUCUGCUGUCAGCUCUAGGAUGCUGUGCGGGUCAGAAGCAGGCCCUCAAACCAGGCAACCUGGAAUAUUUGGUGGGACACAAUGUGUCAUUCGUCACCACCAUCGACCCCCUGACCCAGCAGUUUGUCGUAAUAACCUGGACAUUCAAUAGUGGUUCUGGCCCUGUCCCUAUUAUCAGCUCUGCAACCAAGGGGGAAAGUGUGGCCGAUGCCUACAAGGACAGGGUUGUCUUCAACCGGACGACUGGUUCGCUCGUGCUCAAAGCGGUGACCACCAGCGACACCGGGGAUUACUCUAUAAGCAUGGUGCAGGAUACUGGUGUUCAGAUCCCUGGAGAGAAUAAGCUUACUGUUUACGAGUCGGUCUCAAACGUGGUGGCGAAAGCCAAUGUGACCAAUCCGGUGGAGUUCAACGACACCGUCAGCCUCACCUGCACCGCCACGGGCAGCAAGCUGACUUACAGCUGGCUGUCCGGCGGCGCCGCCGUUGUGGCCACGGACCACAUGCAGCUGAGCAAAGACGGCAGCGUGCUCACCAUCCUUAGCAUCCUGAGGGCCGACAAGGGCCCCUUCGCCUGCACCGCUUCCAACCCCCUGACAACGAAAACCAGCUCUCCCCUCACCUUCAAUAUCAGCUAUGGGCCGGAGGAGAUAUCAAUGACCACCAGUCCCCAGAUGCCGGUCCACAGCACCAAGUCCAACAUCACCCUGACCUGCUCGGCCAAAUCCAGCCCCGCUGCCCAGUAUGAUUGGCUCUUCAACGGCGAGAACCUCAAAAAACCAGGACCAGUGCUGACACUGACAGACAUUCAGAAGACUCAGGGCGGCAAUUACACCUGCCUGGCCAGUAAUCCCAAUACCAAGAGGUACCUGGCAUCUACCGUGGCACAGAUCGCCUUAAUGGAGAAGAUAUCUGGUGCUGCAGUAACCGGACCCACAGCCAAACUGAUAGCAGGAAAUAGCUCUGCAAACAUUAGCUGCCAGGCAGCGAAGGGCACCAUCGUCACCACAAAGUGGCUGAAGGAUGGAAAGCCGCUGUCUCCUAGCGACAGGGUAACCAUCUUCGCCGACAAGAGCUCUGUGGGUAUUUCUCGCGUAGAAAAAACCGACAGUGGAGUGUACCAGUGCGACCUCUCCAAUCCCGUGAGCACCAACUCUGCCAGCUACAAAAUGACUGUCAACUACGGACCGGAGGCGGUGGCCAUAAAGGGAGUGACCGCGGUGGAGGUGAACGAGAAGCUGUCGCUGACGUGCGCCGCUUCCUCUGACCCCCCCGCCACCUACACGUGGACCGUCAACGGAACGGUGAAGGACGUGAAGAAGGCCGUCUACGAACUGGAGAAGGCGGCCUACGUCGACAGCGGCAAGUACGAGUGCGUGGCCAGCAACAACGUGACCGGGAAGACCGCCUCGGCCGUCCACACGCUGUCUGUAAAAGAGAAGAUUGAAGAGUCGCUGUCGGGAGGAGCCAUCGCGGGGAUCGUGAUUGCCGUCCUGGUCGCCCUGCUGAUCAUCGCCCUCAUUGCACGCUGCAUGACGAAGAAGAAGAAAGUCACCGAAUCACCGUACUAGCGUGGGAAAACGGUAAGCCCUGGGUGCCUGUGGCUGCUCUUUGGCUGUGGAGGUUUCUGGGGAGUUGGAAUCGACGGACAGCAGCCAAUUUCCACAAAUUACAAAAGGCACAAAGUCUGGGCGGGGAAUCAAGAUCCAACAAAAAUGCUUGGCCACCAGGAGCAGCCCCGCCUGUUACCCAAAUCUGCAUGCAAAACCCAACGUGGAGGUGAGAGGACACACCCCCCACGGGCCCCUCGCCAUGGUACCCACCCGAAGGUCAAUGAUCCUCAGGGCACUGGGAGGGUGGGGCACUCAGGCGCACCCACACUCUCGUUUGAAACAAGCUGUUCUUUCAUCAGUGAGGUACUGGGGGGUCCACGGUCACCCGCUGUUAGGCAGAGGAAUGUCAUUGCCUAUGUCCCAGUUCCUUUACCGAUUCUUCACCAGACAGUGGCGCUUUUAUUUGAAUUCCUGUCCCCUAAAAAACAUAAAUACACUACCAAAUAUGUCUAUAUUAAUCUGCCUGCCCUCUGGGAGUGAGGAUGGGAACCGUAGACGGUUCUUCUGCUCUGUCUUCCUUCUUGAGAUGGUGGGAAAUUGGCUCACUUUUCUGACAGUUCCUAUAGGCUAAGAGCAGCGAUUAGUGUGCUAAGGACUGUUGGAUUUGGACAAUUCUCUCAAAAUAACCCCCCUUUACUCUUCUCCCCUAUUUGGCUGAAAACCCACAUUGCUACUGUCAUGUCCACAAGAGAGCUCAGAUGCACUCCUAAUUCAUGUGUGUCAACCUGAGAUAGUUUAGGCCAGUGAACUCAUUUAAUAAAUACAUUUUUUUUUUUUUUAACUGGAGUGAUUUAUGGGCAAUGAUAUUCCUCUUCUAUGUAUGUUCUCUCGGGCGUAAUUGCUGAUAAUUUCUAAAACCCACUUACAGACCGUCCUCAUUAAAAUUAGAUUCGUUUAGAUAUUUGUCUCUUAAGCAAAGACAAACCAUUGAAGUUUAAAGCACAAGUUAGUGUGUGCAUCAUAACAGGUGGCAGUUAUGUCAGUGUAUCUUUCAGACUUUUCUCUGUAUUCCCUAUCUGAAGAGCAGUUGUUCCUACCAUGCUUAAUAGAAUCUGAAUAUAUGCAACCCUUUGAUAAAUGAAAAAUUAGCCUUUUUUUUUUUUAGGAAGGAUAUAUUAUGUUAGUACAUAAAUUAACUUGUUUACAAAUGUGAGGGUUGGCAUUUUUAAUUUUUGUUGACCAGAAAUCAGCCUUGUACUCGUAAAGGAGCUUAGGACUGUGCUUUGACGCUGUUCCUUUAAAAUUUCUUAAAAUUGUUAAAUAAGUUGCUCCACAACAUAUGGCAUUCAAAGAGUAUUACAACCAAAUGCACACUGAACGGGGGUGUUUGUAGUGGCACACUAAGUUUUGAAAAGGCGUGUCGAUGCUUGUUCACUUCUUGUAGGUUCGUUCCCUGAAAAUGAAAAAGAAGAAGUAUUUCUAAUCAGAAAACUUCAAACACAAUUUUGGAAAUGCUGAGAAUCUUAGGAAGCUACUUUUCUUUUUGGAAAACUGACUUAUUUAUUAAAAGUAUAUAGUUCUUAUUGCUAGGCAGGACACUGUCCUCUGUUCACACUAUAAAUUGGUUUUGGUGGAUUAGCACUUGUUAAACACUAUGAAAAGAAGCCUAACUAAAUAAUAUUAACAGAAAAACAAGCCUAACUGGAAAAAUAUUUUAAAAAAAUAUGUGUAUACUCCACCAAACGUUGACCCAUCUGGCUUAAAAUUACAAAAUUCAUUUUCAGGGGCAGUGGUGUUCAAUCUAAUAAAUAAAAAAUACAUUAGCUAAAUGCAUUUGCAAAAUUAGCAUUAUUAUUAGCAACUGGGUUGUUAAUAAUAAGAGGUCAGAAUUUUGAUACAGUUGUAGUCGUGUAUAUUUUAUUAUCAUUUUUUGCAACAAAAAAAAAGUGUGAAUGCCAGAAAUGAAACAGCUUUUUGUGGUUGGGGUGGGGGUUGGGGAUCGAGGGCUUUUUCAUCAUUUUAUCUUGUAUUUAACCAUACAUGUUCAGGGGUAGUUAGGAGCAGUUUCCAAAGGGUGUUACAGCUUGAAUAAAAUUCCAAACACCGUUUUUUUUUUCUUUAACUCUGCUGGAGUAUGCAUCAGUAGAUGAUUUGUAUUGUCUUUUUUUAAUUUAUUUUUUGAAUAUCUACAAUAAGUGAUUUAAGUGAUGUUGUUUUAAAAUGAUCCACGUUAAUGACCUUAGCUCAUCAGUCCCUCAUUUGGAGUACAUGUGUAUUUUGUUGUACUGUAGUAGCCAGUAUUCAGUGUGAUAUCUUGUUCGUUCGUCUUCUCUCUGUACCGCUGCUACCUUAAGCAACUGAAAUGAAUGUGCUUUAAAUGAUGGGAUAUAAAUGUGUCUAACAGUGGCUUUGAAAUCCUGUGUGUCAUUAUCUCUGGGUGGCAUAGAUGUGGAGUUUCAGCAGCCCGAUUGCGUUCUACUGCCUUUUCUCCGACCGCACCCUUUUCCCUCUGACUUGUGGAAAAGAAACGGCGUAGCUCUUAAAACAGUCGUAAAAAUCUGCUUUCAAUAUGUACGGAAGAGCCAGGGCGUGCAGAAAGGCGGGGCUAGCCUCAGGUUCAUCGUGCGAAACCACACAGAGGAGUCUCGCGCGCUCUUAGCGUCCCUCGCUGCAGUGCGCCUUCCUUCCGAAUCCGACUGGAUUUCGAUCACUGGUCCGACAUGUUCUGCUCGGGACAUGGGUGCUCUCUUGUGUGGUCUUUCUCGCUGGAGCCACCUGCCCAGGCCUGACUAUCCCAUGUUAUGUUAAUGGCCAUGCCCCAUGGCAAGUCCCUCCCAUUCCAGGGCCAGGAUAAGAGCACGAACAUUUUCCCAUGAUGUUCUUGCGGCAGACGAAAUGAACCCUCUGGUGGCAGCUGUAAGAACUAAUUCCUGUCAACUGACUUUGCCAUUGCCUUAUCCAGCAACCGGAGAACCUAGAAUUCAGCUCCGAUUUCCAACCGUUCAAAAAGACCAUUGCAGGCACAAUGUGUGAAAUCUCGUUUUAAAUGUUCCCCUCUUAUCAAGGUGCCAAGGCACAUCCGCUUAUUGAAUUACUUGCCCUUAUGGCUUAAAGAAGCAUGAAACGGUGAACCGUUCAUUAACCAGAAACCAAUUGCACAAAGAAAUACAUAUAUCCUUGUUUUGGUUUACAAUGCUACAAUGUUAUUGGCGUGUGACAAUUUGUGGGAAUUCAGGUAACUGCAAUAUCAUAAUUGUACUCUCUGUUUGAAUGUAAAAUUGAAUAAAUAUCGAUGUAAAAAAAAAAGACAAAAAAACAACCUUUGGAACUGCCUGCAUGUGUUUCAUGAUUAACAGGACCCGCCCUUCUCUCUCACUCCUGUUCGUAUACAGCAAAAAUAAAAAGUAGAAAUAAAUCGAGAAAAUGUAUAUACUCUGUAUGAGAGCAAGAGAGAGAGCGAGAAGGGUGUGGUUUUUGGUGUGCCCUAUCUCCUGCGCUGAACCGUUUUUCACGCUUUGCAUUGCUACUGCAUCGUUCCCCUGAGGCCAGCCUUGCUCUCAUGCUUGUCUGAAAAAUAUUUUCCUUUUUUUGUUAGUUUAUUUUCUAAUAUGGAAAAUAAACAUGUAAAUGUCUGUUGUAUGUAAAGUACCUAUUUUUGUAUGUUAAUAAAAUUGCAAGUAACAACUGAAAA